rnacentral:lncRNA from 1 species
GUGGGAGGAUCUUCUUCAGGUAGUCGUCAUCCCUUUAAGAAAGAAAAAAAGAAGAAGAAUAAGAAGGUACCUAGUGUUGGGUGUCAGUCCCAGAAAUCUAAGUUUAAGGCUGAUCAAAGUCAGACAGAGUGCUUCUUUUGCAAGAAGCAGGAUCACUAGAAGAGGAACUAUCCUCAGUAUAUCGCUUUUCUUGAUCCGAAGAGGCAAAAGAAGAAGA